rnacentral:rRNA from 1 species
UACAGAGGGGGCAAGCGUUAUUCGGAAUUAUUGGGCGUAAAGGGCGCGUAGGCGGCCUGGCAAGUGGAAGGUGAAAUCCCUCGGCUUAACCGAGGAACUGCCCUCCAAACUGCUUGGCUUGAGUCCGGGAGAGGUGAGUGGAAUUCCCAGUGUAGCGGUGAAAUGCGUAGAUAUUGGGAGGAACACCUGUGGCGAAAGCGGCUCACUGGACCACAACUGACGCUGAGGCGCGAAAGCUAGGGGAGCAAACAGG